GACAGAGCCAUAUCGACCUGCAGUUCUUGCCUGGUUUCCCACUGAAACUAAGCAGGGUUGAGCCUGGCUAGUACCUGGAUGGGUGACCUCCUGGGGAAAACUAAGGUUGCCGCUGGAA
rnacentral:rRNA from 1 species